ACAAAUGGAAAUUAAAAAGCCAGAGUCUGGAGCUGUGGCUCAGUUGCUUCCCCAGCGUGAACCAAGACCUGGGUUUGAGCCCCAGCUCUGCAUGAAACCAGGUGCAAUGGCACAUGCGUAGGAGGGUCACGAAUUAGAGGUCAGCCUGGGCUGCAUGCCAAGACCCCAUCUCAGGGAAGAGAAAGAGGGCUGCGAGUAUGGAGCACAGGUGGCUUAGGACAUCAAGGAUGUCUGUCCAGGCAGCCAUGUGGGCAGACUCAAGAGCUCUGGAAGUCCUGGAAAAGACCGGGAAGUUGAAGAGGAAUCAGGAAGGUGUCCUGCCUGGUGCAGCCUGCCCCCUGGUGGACAAGCUUGGAUAACCCUACACUUUCAGGGUGUUCAGGCACAAACCACUCCCCGGAGAGUUUCUGCACCGCUCCAGUUGCACGAAUUUGCCUGUGGAUUUUGUCAGGUCUGGUUUGUUAACGUUGGAAGCAAUAUUAUUAUGGUGGCAAUUUAUCAUGUGUGGUUAACCAAGACUUGGGCGAUGCUAUCUCCUGAUGGUCAAUUGAGAUGCAGGGGCAGGCGCUCUGCAUCUUAAACCUCCAAAGGGGAGCAGCGUGAUCUGCAUCUAGCUCACUCAUCCCACGAAGGCUCAUCCCCAGCUCCUUUUCGUCUGUUUGGAUGCUGGUGACUGAGCCCAGCGCCUCAUCCACGCUAGUUUGUUUGUUUGUUUUUGUUUUUCGAGACAGGGUUUCUCGGUGUAGCCCUGGCUGUCCUGGAACUCACUUUGUAGACCAGGCUGGCUUCGAACUCAGAAAUCCGCCUGCCUGGGAUUUUAAUCCCUGUGCUGGGAUUAAAGGCGUGCGCCACCACGCCCGGCUUGUUUUUGUUUGUUUGUUUGUUUGUUUGUUUGUUUGUUUUUGUUUUCUCAUCCAUGCUAGUAAGUGCUCUACCAGUGAGCUGCAGCCCCGGUCUGUUUGAGGGCAGGAAGGGACAUCAAGUGGCUUGACUUUUGUACCCCACUUUCUCUGGUCAUCAAAUACAGGCUGUUCUGGGCAGCGAGUGACCUCGGCAGCAGCCUCGGUGGACUUAGAGAAGGUAACGUUGCUAAGGGGCCUGGCCAUGUGUGGAUGGCAAGUCCUCCCUUGAAAACUGGUCCCGAUCACACCACCAUCUGCACUGAGAGAGAAGUUGCUGCAGAUGCUGCUGGCUCUUCCCGAGGGAAGCAAAGGAUUGUGGGAGGACCCAGCCCCAGCCCCUCUCCCUCCUCCCAGCUCUCCCCUCACAACUUCUCCAAGCCUCCAUGGCUCCCAGGGUGGCACAGUGCAGGCCCUCAUGCUGUCAGAGUGCCCGAGUACCUGGCUCCCAUUCCCUGCUGCUGCCAGAGUUACAUGACAUGUCUGUUUACAAUGACCAGUUAUCAACACAGGACUCCAAGAAGCACCCAGGAUCCCCACAGAUUCCUCCUCAUCCCUGCUGAGUCCCAGAGGCUGCAUUCCCGACUUAGAACCAGAGUCAACG
rnacentral:lncRNA from 1 species